AACUAGCCGCGAUUGUAGUGGAAAUCCUUUUUAUGAGCCUUUUAGCGAAUAAAAAGAUUGCAAUGGAAAGCGGGAGAAAUG
rfam:Flavobacterium segetis strain DSM 19741 genome assembly, contig: Ga0131139_102